ACUUUGAAGAGAGAGUUCAAGAGUACGUGAAACCGUUCAGGGGUAAACCUGUGAAACCCAAAAGAUCGAAUGGGGAGAUUCAUCGUCAGCGUUUUUAGUAUUAAUGCAAGCUAUGAUGUGAUAAUAGAAUCCUUGUGGUCACUAAAUUAUACUUGCUUGUAUUAUUUUUGCUAAAUUCGUCGCCGUGCACUUCUCCUCUAGUAGAACGUCGCAACCUGUUAGAUGUUUAUCUAUGGCUCAACUGGUAGCCUUUAGUAUUUUAUUAUACUGAAGACCUUUGGUGUCCUGAUAAACUGUUUGACAGUAUACAUAUGGUAUUGAGCCGCAAUUGUUUGCGUUAGACUUACCGCAAGUAUGAUUUUCUUCUGGUAAUG
rnacentral:rRNA from 1 species